AAUACGGGGGGGGCAUGCGUUGUUCGGAAUCAUUGGGCGUAAAGGGUGCGUAGGCGGCGAGGCAAGUCUGGUGUGAAAUCCCGGGGCUCAACCCCGGAACUGCACUGGAUACUGCUUUGCUAGAGUACUGGAGAGGGAACUGGAAUUUACGGUGUAGCAGUGAAAUGCGUAGAUAUCGUAAGGAAGACCAGCGGCGAAGGCGAGUUCCUGGACAGUUACUGACGCUGAGGCACGAAGGCCAGGGGAGCAAACGG
rnacentral:rRNA from 1 species